GUCGGCGUGGCGGAAUGGUAGACGCAGCGGACUUAAAAUCCGCUGGGAGAAAUCCCGUGCGGGUUCGAGUCCCGCCGCCGACA
rnacentral:tRNA from 1 species